rnacentral:piRNA from 1 species
CAUUCACGGUACUGAGGACGAGGU